AAGCGGCUCGCGUUACUUGGUGCGUCAG
rnacentral:sRNA from 1 species